CCUACGGGAGGCAGCAGUGAGGAAUAUUGGUCAAUGGGAGGAAUCCUGAACCAGCCAUGCCGCGUGCAGGACGACGGCUCUACGAGUUGUAAACCGCUUUUGUUCAAGGGCAAGGCACGGUCUUUGGCCGUGUUGAGUGGAUUGUUCGAAUAAGCACCGGCUAACUACGUGCCAGCAGCCGCGGUAAUACGUAGGGUGCAAGCGUUAUCCGGAUUUAUUGGGCGUAAAGGGCUCGUAGGCGGGUCGUCGCGUCCGGUGUGAAAGUCCAUCGCUUAACGGUGGAUCCGCGCCGGGUACGGGCGGGCUUGAGUGCGGUAGGGGAGACUGGAAUUCCCGGUGUGACGGUGGAAUGUGUAGAUAUCGGGAAGAACACCAAUGGCGAAGGCAGGUCUCUGGGCCGUUACUGACGCUGAGGAGCGAAAGCGUGGGGAGCGAACAGGAUUAGAUACCCUGGUAGUC
rnacentral:rRNA from 1 species